UUUCACCAGCAGGAACAGUAACAGUUCGAUUGAACUGGAAGUUAAGACCGCCACAUGACUUUGGGCUCCUCAUGUCUCUGAAUCAACAGGAAAGGCAUUACUGUGCUGGCUGGGGUGAUUGGUCCUGACUACCAAGGGGAAAUUAGACUACUGUUUCACAAUGGAGCAAUUCGACUGUCCAGACGUCUCUACAUUUCUGAGCUUUUCUGCUGUUUGCCUUCGUCUCAUGUACUUAGAAAUUUGAAGACAUUUUAAAGGUAUGCUCAGCAGAAUGUGAGACACUAAGUUCAUCGUUUCUUUCCACUGCAAUUCCGGCUUACCAAGUAUCUUGCAUGGAUGUUCAAUUUCUUGCAAUGGGUAAAGAGUCUGAAAAUGCCCUGAAGGAAAAAGGAACAGCUGGUUGACUUCCUGAGUGUUGUCCUGCUUCUCCAAGAUUUUGUCCCCUCAAGACCUGUCUUUUCAUUAAUUCUUCAGUGCCCCUUAGGUUGCUCCUCUUCCUCCUUGCUUUGUUUCCUGUUUUUUAAUUUUUAUUUUAAAAUUUAAUUUUUUUUUUUUCUAUUUCCCCAAGAACUAGGGGUGCAUGGGUCUGAUUUUAAGUGCUCCAUCAAAGAUGGAAGAGGAAGUCCAAAAGUACUUGACUUUGAAUUCAUGCAGAAACAAAUUAACAUUCCAUUAUAGGGUUUACUGUGAAAGUAACUUACUCUUUUUUUAACAGUGCAAAAUCCUUUACUUAUAAUUUACAAAUUGUAAUUGAAGGUAUAUUAUUUUAGUCACAUAUGUGAAAAAUGCUUAGCACGUGACUCAAUAAAUUUAAAAAAACUAAAUAAAUACCCUUUUUUGAAUGAAAUAUUUAAUAAAAUGCAUAAGUUACUGAAAAAC
rnacentral:lncRNA from 1 species